rnacentral:rRNA from 1 species
CAGCUAGCUUACACACCAAUAUAACCAAAUAAUAUAAAUAAUAUAGAAUAGGCCAGACACCAAAACUUAAACCAUUCUUUUACCUGAGUAUGGGAGACAGAAAAGGUUCAACCAAAGCAAUAGAAAAAGUACCGCAAGGGAAAGCUGAAAGAGAAAUGAAACAACCCAUAUAAGUACUAAGAAGCAAAGACUAAACCUUGUACCUUUUGCAUCAUGAUUUAGCCAGUAAACACAAGCAAAGAGACCUUUAGUUUGAAACCCCGAAACCAGGUGAGCUACCCCGAGACAGCCUAUUAAGGGCCAACCCGUCUCUGUGGCAAAAGAGUGGGAAGAGCUCCGGGUAGAAGUGACAGACCUACCGAACCUGGUGAUAGCUGGUUGCCUAAGAAAUGGAUAGAAGUUCAGCCUCGUAUACCUCAAAUCAAGUAAGCACUAACCAAGAUAGCAAGAGAAAAACACGAGAGUUAGUUGAAGGGGGUACAGCCCCUUUAACCAAGGAUACAACCUUAUCCAGGAGGAUAAAGAUCAUAAUAUAUAAAACAUACUGUUCUAGUGGGCCUAAAAGCAGCCACCUAGAUAGAAAGCGUUAAAGCUCAGACAGAAAGAAGUUUAUUAUUCUGAUAAAAAAUCUUACUCCCCUAAAUACUAUUAGGCUAAUCCAUGCCCCCAUGGAAGAAAUUAUGCUAAAAUGAGUAACAAGAAGGCCCGCCCUUCUCCAAGCACAAGUGUAAGCCAAACCGGACCAACCAUUGGCAACUAACGAACUCAACCCAAGAGAGUAAUGUGAAUUAUAAAAAAAUCAAGAAAAAUCCACAACUAAACGAUCGUUAACCCCACACUGGAGUGCUAUUAAAGGAAAGACUAAAAGAAAAGGAAGGAACUCGGCAAACACAAGCCUCGCCUGUUUACCAAAAACAUCGCCUCCUGCGACACAACCAUGUAUAGGAGGUCCAGCCUGCCCAGUGACUACAAGUUCAACGGCCGCGGUAUUUUGACCGUGCAAAGGUAGCGCAAUCACUUGUCUUUUAAAUAGAGACCUGUAUGAAUGGCUAAACGAGGGCUUAACUGUCUCCCCUUUCAAGUCAGUGAAAUUGAUCUGCCCGUGCAGAAGCG